AUGUUCACUUUGGCAACACAUAUGCUAAAAUUGGAACAAUACAGAGAAGAUUAGCAAGGCCUCUACACAAGGAUGACACACAAAUUCAUGAAGUGUUCCAUAAAAAA
rnacentral:snRNA from 1 species